rnacentral:rRNA from 1 species
UGGCUCAGGAUGAACACUAGCGGCAGGCUUAACACAUGCAAGUCGAGGGGCAGCGCGGAGUAGCAAUACUCUGGCGGCGACCGGCGGAAGGGUGCGUAACACGUGAGCGACUUGCCCGUCACAGGGAGAUAACCGCUGGAAACGGCGACUAAUACCCCAUAUGAUGACGAUCUGCAUGGAUUGUCAUUGAAAGAUUUAUUGGUAAAGGAUGGCGAUGCGUCCCAUUAGUUAGUUGGCGGGGUAACGGCCCACCAAGACGACGAUGGGUAGGGGUUCUGAGAGGAAGGUCCCCCACAUUGGAACUGAGACACGGUCCAAACUCCUACGGGAGGCAGCAGUGAGGAAUAUUGGUCAAUGGACGUAAGUCUGAACCAGCCAAGUAGCGUGCAGGAUGACGGCCCUAUGGGUUGUAAACUGCUUUUAUGCGGGGAUAAAGUGUGGGACGUGUCCCAUAUUGUAGGUACCGCAUGAAUAAGGACCGGCUAAUUCCGUG